AUUUCUUUUAAAGCUUCUUCACCUUUGCUACCGGUUUGUUUUACAAAGUCAUCAUAGAAAGGUUUCAUUGAGGCUUUGAACGGUGCAAGAUCAGGUUUGGUUACUGUGACACCUUGC
rnacentral:antisense_RNA from 1 species